UAUAGAGGAAGCCUCUUAAUUUCCCCAAAUUCAACUCUUUCACUCUCGACGAACCCUAAUUUUCAAAUCGAUGAAUCUGUGACUACUGAGUGUGCAUUUCAGAGCGAGAAACGUGAUGGAGAGAAUGAAUUUUCCAAGCCCAAGUAUAUUGGGCUUCAGAUGGAUCUUACAAUGGUGGUCAGACUAAAUGUUUUUGAGUGGAUUUCAGAAGACCGACACUUGAAAUGCUGAAAGAUGUUGCUUUAACAAGUGGUUAUGCAGAGAAUAUGUGUGAGGUUUCUUACUUCCCUAGUCGAGCUGUUGGGGCGGCGGAUCGUGUGGACUUGGUAGCUGAUAAUGAUGUAGAAAACAUGAUUAGAUGUUUAGACGACGUGGAUAUAGCAUGAAUAUAUAUGGCGUUAGGGAAGAUGAUCCAUAUUUAGAUGAUGUGCUUGUAGGAAAUGUAGAAGAAGAGGAGGAACAAGAGAGUGAUGACGAGUCAUGUGAUUUUUAUAGAAAUGAUUAUGUUGAGAGUGAUGGGUCUGAUGAUGAUGAAGAUCGCCGAAUUGAGUUUUAUGUAGGUGAACAGUUUGUUUCGAAAUAAAAGUGUAAGGAGACAAUCGAGAAGUAUGAUAUUAACGAGAAGGUUAACAUACA